UGGACUAUGUUGAGUAUGUAUUGUUUUUCA
rnacentral:piRNA from 1 species